rnacentral:rRNA from 1 species
GAUGAACGCUGGCGGCAGGCCUAAUACAUGCAAGUCGAGCGAACGGACGUGUAUUUCGCUUCUCUUCUGUUACCGACGGAUGGGUAAGUAACACGAGUCUAACCUCUCUAUAGGACUGGGAUACGUUCGUGAAACCGUAUCCAACACCUGUUAAUAUUUUGAACCGCGUGGUUCAACAGUCAACACCGGUCUUGCUGACACUAAUUGAUAGUUCCAGGCUGGAUUAGCUAGGUCGUAGGGUAACGACUUACCAAGGCGACGAUGCGUAGCUGAUCUGAAAGGAGGAUCAGACACACUGGAACUGAGACACGGUCCAGACUCCUACGGGAGGCAGCAGUAGGGAAUGUUCCACAAUGGGCGAAAGACUGAAGAAGCAAAGCAGCAUGAGUGAAGAAGGUCUUCGGAUCGUAAAACUCUGUAAAUAGGGAAGAACAUAAGUAAAAUAAUCCGUGGAAAUCUUGACGGUACAUAAAGAAGAAGCAACGGCUAACUACGUG